UCUAUACGUGAAACCGCGAAUGGCUCAUUAAAUCAGCUACUAUUCAUUUGUUUAUCCUACGGCUAUAUGAAUAACUGUGGUAACCCUACAGCUAAUGCAUGAAUCUGCCGAUUAGCCAUAGCAGCGAUCGGAACUUUUACUUGCGCACCCAGGGCCCUAUGAAACAGUGAGGGACAGCAUUUGAAUUUCAAAGUAACUGAAGGACCUUCUUACGCAUCAUAUAAAUGCGGAAGGCGCUGCAAUUAAGCAUCUGCCCUAUCAACUUCUGACGGUAGUGUAACGGACUACCGUGGUUGUGACGGGUGACGGGGAAUCAGGGUUCGAUUCCGGAGAGGGAGCCUGAGAAACGGCUACCACUUUUAAGAAAGGCAGCAGGCACGCAAAUUACCCAAUGUCGGAACGACGAGGUAGUGACGAAAAAUAACGAUAUGAGCCCAUUGGGUUUGUAAUCGGAAUGGAAGAGAUGUAACGCAUCUCUUGAGGAUCUAGUAGAGGGCAAGUCUGGUGCCAGCAGCCGCGGUAACACCAGCCUCUACAAGCAUAUGCAAAAGUUGCUGCGUUUGAAAAGCUCAUAGUUGGGUCCGUUCUAAGUAGAGCUUCUUCUCACCUGGGUGACUGGGUGAACGUUCUAUCUUAGCGUCUUUUCGUUGAGAAUGUUUGCACUUAACUGUGUCGAAUGUUUGAGACGGAAAAUUUACCUUGAGUAAAUUGGAGUGUUCAAAGCAAUCGUGAGUUUGAACAAUAAAGCAUGGAAUAAUGGAGGACGACCCGCACACUGCGAAGCUGGUUAGCUGGUGAUGCGGUAAUGAUUAAAAGGAACAGACGGGGGCAUUUGUAUUGCUACGUUAGAGGUGAAAUUCUUGGAUCGUGGCAAGACAAACUACUGCGAAAGCAUUUGCCAAGAAUGUUUUCAUUAAUCAAGAACGAAAGUCAGAGCAUUGAAGAGGAUUAGAUACCCUCGUAAUUCUGACCAUAAACGAUACCGACUUACGAUUUGUCAAAGUCCCUAAUGACUUGGCAAGGAGUUAACCGGGAAACCAAAGUUUUUUGGCUCCGGGGGAAGUAUGGUUGCAAAAUCGAAACUUAAAGGAAUUGACGGAAGGGCACCACCAGGAGUGGAGCCUGCGGCUUAAUUUGACUCAACACGGGAAAACUCACCAGGUCCAGACAUCGAAAGGAUUGACAGAUUGAGGAUCUUUCAUGAUUCAAUGGGUGGUGGUGCAUGGCCGUUCUUAGUUAGUGGAGUGAUCUGUCUGGUUAAUUCCGAUAACGAACGAGAUCCCAGCCAUUUAAAUAGAACUGUGAAUUUCGAUUCACUUGAACUUCUUAGAGGAACUAUGCGGAAUAUAAUACCGCAAGGAAGUGGGGCUAUAACAGGUCUGUGAUGCCCUUAGAUGUCCUGGGCUGCACGCGCGCUACAAUGGGUGACCUAGAAUGAGGUGUCAUGCCUAGUCCGAGAUGGUCCGGGUAACCACCAAAAGUCACCGCAAAUAUUUGGGAUUGACUCUUGUAAUUAGUAGUCAUGAACGAGGAAUUCCUAGUAAUUUGAUGUCAACAACAUCAUGUGAUUACGUCCCUGCCCUUUGUACACACCGCCCGUCGCUACUACUGAUUGGAUGAUUAAACAAGAUAUGCUGAAGCUCGCUAAUGGGGCCUCGUGCUUGCGUUAGGGCGUGGAAGCGCUUCGAGUUUAUUUGUCUA
rnacentral:rRNA from 1 species